AGCCCGUGCAGACUAGUGUGCCCCAGCCAUCUCUGGGAGAGUACCUCUUUGAGAGGCUCACUCUCAAGCAUGACUAGGAGG
rnacentral:pre_miRNA from 1 species